GUCCACUUGGCUCAGUGGUAGAGCAUCAGAUAAUGAUUAAUGAUGGAUGCGUGAUUCAUUAUUUGAAGGUGGCGAGUUCGAAUCUUGCAGUGGACA